GCCUUCAUAGCUCAAUUGGUAGAGCAUUCGCCUAGAUAGCGAAAGGCCCCCAGAUUAAGCCUGAGUUGAGGCA
rnacentral:tRNA from 1 species